rnacentral:lncRNA from 1 species
AUGCAGUUUCUAGAACAUUCUUGUACUUUCCAACCCCUGCCCUUUGUCUUUUCUAUUGGUUUUUCCCAUGAAUCCUCCCCUUUUUUUCCAGGUGACCCUUGGGGCACCAAGGCCUCUCAAGACAUGAGUCCCGUGUCGCCCCAGUGGUGGUGUUUCCUCACCCUCUCUGCAGCCCUCCGUCUGCACCCUGAGAGCAGGUCCACACGUCCCACUGCACAGAGGAGGCUGCUGUCGCCGUCACAGAUGAGGCUCAGAGAGGGUGUCUCAUGUCCACGGUGGCUCAGUGUGGAGCAGGAACCCCUGCAGGGCCAUCUCUCUGUCACCUUGAGAAAGGAUGCCUGCCUCAGGGCACAGGGGAUAUUAUGUCACCUGGGCCCGUUUCAGUUCUUACUGAGGGUCUCAGAAAGAAUCCAGCCAUCAAGAGGUGACUGGGGCAGGCCUUUUGGAUGGGGCGUCCUGGCAUGUGCGUGUUUUGGAGCAAGUCCUCGGGCUCAUUCAUUCAAUCGUUCUGUGCAUCAGGACAAAAGGGCUUUGACCAUUGCGAUCACAUCCCCAUUGUGCCCCAGAGAGGCAGGUCCGAGGACCCGGAGCACCGCGGAGGUGACAGGGAAGGCAGAGCUGACGCGUGCGCGUGCGGGGAAUGAUUGUGGCAGCGCUGUGCCAAGCCAAGGCGUGUUCCCUGUGUCGUGCCCACGGCAGGCUGACGGAAAGAACGCGGACCGCACUCCUCGGCAGAGAGAACAGAGGCAGGGAAAAGAAAAGGAAAAGGUGAGGGGACUUGCCAGCCUUCCCUGGGGUAGGAAGCGGUGGCGCCGGGACCCCAGCCAGGUGGUCUUCCAGUCUUCCCAAAUCCUGACGUCAUAG